rnacentral:rRNA from 1 species
AUUGAACGCUGGCGGCAGGCCUAACACAUGCAAGUCGAGCGAGCGGCGGACGGGUGAGUAAUGUAUGGGGACUGCCCGAUCGAGGGGGAUAACUACUGGAAACGGUGGCUAAUACCGCAUACUAUCGGAUAACCCAUAUGGGAUUAGCUAGUAGGUAGGUGAAAGGCUCCCCUAGGCGACGAUCUCUAGCUGGUCUGCGAGGAUGAUCAGCCACACGGGGACUGAGACACGGCCCAGAUGCCUACGGAGGCAGCAGUGGGGAAUAUUGCACAAUGGGCGCAAUCCGGAGGCAGCCAUGCCGCGUGUAGGAAGAAGGCCUUAGGGUUGUAAAGUACUUUCAGCGGGGAGGCGUUACCCGCAGAAGAAGCACCGGCUAACUCCGUGCCAGCAGCCGCGGUAAUAC